UGGGGAAUUUUGCGCAAUGGGGGAAACCCUGACGCAGCAACGCCGCGUGGAGGAUGAAGUCCCUUGGGACGUAAACUCCUUUCGAUCGGGACGAUUAUGACGGUACCGGAAGAAGAAGCCCCGGCUAACUUCGUGCCAGCAGCCGCGGUAAUACGAGGGGGGCAAGCGUUGUUCGGAAUUAUUGGGCGUAAAGGGUGCGUAGGUGGUUCGGCAAGUCUUGUGUGAAAUCUUCAGGCUCAACUUGAAGUCUGCACAAGAAACUGCCGGGCUUGAGUGUGGGAGAGGUGAGUGGAAUUUCCGGUGUAGCGGUGAAAUGCGUAGAUAUCGGAAGGAACACCUGUGGCGAAAGCGGCUCACUGGACCACUACUGACACUGAGGCACGAAAGCUAGGGGAGCAAACA
rnacentral:rRNA from 2 species